rnacentral:rRNA from 1 species
UGAUGUUAGCGGCGGACGGGUGAGUAACACGUGGGUAACCUGCCUGUAAGACUGGGAUAACUCCGGGAAACCGGGGCUAAUACCGGAUGGUUGUUUGAACCGCAUGGUUCAGACAUAAAAGGUGGCUUCGGCUACCACUUACAGAUGGACCCGCGGCGCAUUAGCUAGUUGGUGAGGUAACGGCUCACCAAGGCGACGAUGCGUAGCCGACCUGAGAGGGUGAUCGGCCACACUGGGACUGAGACACGGCCCAGACUCCUACGGGAGGCAGCAGUAGGGAAUCUUCCGCAAUGGACGAAAGUCUGACGGAGCAACGCCGCGUGAGUGAUGAAGGUUUUCGGAUCGUAAAGCUCUGUUGUUAGGGAAGAACAAGUGCCGUUCAAAUAGGGCGGCACCUUGACGGUACCUAACCAGAAAGCCACGGCUAACUACGUGCCAGCAGCCGCGGUAAUACGUAGGUGGCAAGCGUUGUCCGGAAUUAUUGGGCGUAAAGGGCUCGCAGGCGGUUUCUUAAGUCUGAUGUGAAAGCCCCCGGCUCAACCGGGGAGGGUCAUUGGAAACUGGGGAACUUGAGUGCAGAAGAGGAGAGUGGAAUUCCACGUGUAGCGGUGAAAUGCGUAGAGAUGUGGAGGAACACCAGUGGCGAAGGCGACUCUCUGGUCUGUAACUGACGCUGAGGAGCGAAAGCGUGGGGAGCGAACAGGA